rnacentral:rRNA from 1 species
UACGAAGGGGGCUAGCGUUGCUCGGAAUGACUGGGCGUAAAGGGCGCGUAGGCGGAUUGUACAGUCAGGCGUGAAAUUCCCGGGCUCAACCUGGGGGCUGCGCUUGAGACGUGCGAUCUUGAGUGGGGAAGAGGGUCGUGGAAUUCCCAGUGUAGAGGUGAAAUUCGUAGAUAUUGGGAAGAACACCGGUGGCGAAGGCGGCGACCUGGUCCUUGACUGACGCUGAGGCGCGACAGCGUGGGGAGCAAACAGG